UUUGACAAGUCCCAGCUCACUUGCUUAUUACCUACUGAUUUGGACUACACACACGAAUGUGAUAGAGUAGUUCAGCCGUCCACCACCCUAAAUAAGGCUUUUAAUUUCGUCUCAUGGCCAUACUGUUCUAAAGACAGGAAGAAUCCACCAGUGUACAGCGCUGUGUUGACAUGUGACACCAUCAAGGUCAGUUUUACAGAAGUAAGCCAACUCUCCUCGACUCCAGAGGACCAAAGACAAUAUUUCGUCUUGACCAAGACUCAAAAAGUCCCGCUACCAAAAUCCUACACAGGAAAUCAAAGAUACUUCAGAUGUCCCUGUAACUGAAGACAAUGACAUCUUACUUAACGAUAUAUAAUGUAUACAUAUUUUUGUAUAAAUACUUACAGUGUGUGUAGCGCCAAAGUCAGUUUUCCUCCUUUGUUCCAUUCAGCGUUUGCAGCCCUCAUGACUUUCCAGCAUAAAAUCUGGUCCUGAUUAUGUUCUAAUAUCUUUAAUGUAAAGCUGUACAAACCAGAAGCAAUUGAUAAGAUAUAAGAUAGACAGCAUCUUUUGUCAGCUAUUAUCAGAGAUUUUAAUGUCAUUUAUGCAUGACGCGUAGGACGUAAUCAUCUUCUUUUUUGAAGUAACGUUUGUACUAUAUAAGAUUUAGAGGACCAGUUCAGUAUCCACUCCUAUAUUUUCAUUUUUUCUUCCCUUGUCACUUAAGCGGAGUGUAUUGAGGUGCAGUGUCAAUCUUAGUAAUUAUUUUUUCCAUGUUAAACAGUUGUUUUUUUCGCUUAACCUAUACAAAAAUUGUUUAUACCUAUCGCAUUCAAUUGUUCAGUAAAUGAUCCCUAAUGAACUAAAAAAAAAUUAUUCAAGAAACAUAUACCCAAGAAACAGGCAAUAUGUUAUGAAUAAGAGCCGGGCCAACCUUAGGCAUAGGCAAGCUGAAUGGUCUCCUAGAGCCUUCGAUUGAUGGGAGCCUCGCACACGACCCUAUACAAAUAUUUCAGAGAAGAAAUGGUGAAACUUGUCCUCAAUGUUAUUGUUAGAAAUAACUAAAUUUUUUCUCUGUUUAUAUUUUAUUUUUGUUUUGGGGACAUCAGAUUCACUCCGACUAGAGUAUCCAAUUAUCUAAGGCCGGCCCUUGUGAGAGAUUGAUAGAUGUUGUAGAGACUAAAGUUCAUUCAUAAAAGAUUGAAAUGGAUGAUCUAACUAUUUCGAUACAUUGUACUGUUUAGUCUGAACGUUGCCAACUGUGAGAACUAUUAUUUUGGACUGAAUGUUAUCUUUAGCUUCACUUACUUUGUUGUUGGUUAUGAUUUCUUGUUCACUUCUACACCUAAAUAAAUGGUUUUUAUACAGUUAAA
rnacentral:sRNA from 1 species